AUGAACGCUGGCGGCGUGCCUAAUACAUGCAAGUCGAGCGAACGGACGAGAAGCUUGCUUCUCUGAUGUUAGCGGCGGACGGGUGAGUAACACGUGGAUAACCUACCUAUAAGACUGGGAUAACUUCGGGAAACCGGAGCUAAUACCGGAUAAUAUUUUGAACCGCAUGGUUCAAAAGUAAAAGACGGUCUUGCUGUCACUUAUAGAUGGAUCCGCGCUGCAUUAGCUAGUUGGUAAGGUAACGGCCUACCAAGGCAACGAUGCAUAGCCGACCUGAGAGGGUGAUCGGCCACACUGGAACUGAGACACGGUCCAGACUCCUACGGGAGGCAGCAGUAGGGAAUCUUCCGCAAUGGGCGAAAGCCUGACGGAGCAACGCCGCGUGAGUGAUGAAGGUCUUCGGAUCGUAAAACUCUGUUAUUAGGGAAGAACAUAUGUGUAAGUAACUGUGCACAUCUUGACGGUACCUAAUCAGAAAGCCACGGCUAACUACGUG
rnacentral:rRNA from 1 species